rnacentral:rRNA from 1 species
CCUCUCCUCGCCGCCACCCACCUCCGCCACACCUCCCCUCCCCACCUCAGAUCCUCUCCCCACUCCCAGAUCCAACUUGCCACCGUAGAACGAGGAGAUCGCGGCCAAGAUCUUCGGGACGCGCUGGUCGUCGUCGCCAACCGCUCCUCCGCCGACCCGCACAAGUUCCCUGGUGCUAAGGUACCUCGAGGAGUUCGUGCAGCGGUUCGACCUCCUCGGGUUGGUCCGGUUCGGGACGGAGGUGGUGAGCGUCCGCCGCAGCAGGGACGACGACGCGGGCUGGAGGGUGAGGCUCGCCUGCGCUGGCAGCGAGCUGGAGGAGGAGGUUUGACGCCGUGGUCGUCUGCAGUGGGCACUUCGCCGAGCCGUGCGUGGCCGCCAUCGCAGGUUAGUGAGCAGCAUCAGGAGGAGGAGCUCAAACAGGCCACCACGAUGCACCACCGCAGCAGCAGGUGGGUGGCGUCUGGUACAUGUAAUGGGUUUGCCGCCAAUAUCAUUUCUGAGUUUCCGGUUGCCGUGACCACAGCUGCUACCACAUACUUGCCGUUGAUGGGAGUCAUUUUUUGUUGACUCAUUUGGAUUUCAAUGCAACCCAUGACGAUGGUAUUGCGGCACAUGGCACCGGAGCUGAGCCUGGGCAUGAGGAGCAACGGCUAUGUGCGGGUCCUCGACCUGCUCGGCCUCAACCUGCAGACCUUCGCCAAGGUUCCCCUCAAGUCCCACAUGGUGGAUGAAAUCAGGGAGGUAAUAUUUUUCAUGACCCAUCUUCCUGCUGAACAGUAGGUGAUCUUACUAAACACCUAGCCCACCUUGCCUGGUAUGCUUGUAUCUGCUACAUGUUGUUUUCAUCUUGAUAGCUAGCAGCCUAGCACAAUGAACUUUGAUUAUGAAAUCUCUAUAUGUUGUAAAAUAAAUUGGGUCAAUCUCAAAUUUGUUGUGAAUUGUAGGAUGCUUUGGGUAAAUGUUUUUUUGCCUUCUCGCGUGUAGGCGGUCAGGUGAGAUAGCAAGGAGAGGUUCAAUCUGUUGGAGUAGGAUGGCGAGCUGCUGAUUCAGGUUAACCAGGUGCACACUGUGGCAGUAUGAUUUCUGCCUGACCCUCCAGACCGUGGAGAAGCAGAGUCGGCCGCUGGCGGGGGACGUGGGCAACGACCAGAUCGUCGUCCUCUUCAAGUUAGGCCCUGUUCGGCAAGCCUCCGCUCCUUCAGCGCGGAGUGGAGCGCGCGGAGUGGCCCUUGGGCGACUCUGAAAAUUUUAACUGGACGCUGCUCCGCUCCAGCGUGGAGUUGGAGUGGGGAGAGAGUCCGAACAGGCUCUUAAUAGAGUUUACUUUGGAUGACAAAUGUUUGUAGAUCAUCCACCUCCUCAACGAUGCUAACCCGAUCCGAUCAUCGUCGACACUAUCAUCAUCAGGAUCUAAUGUUGUUUAGGCUGCUGCUGUUGUGACGGAAGAGCAGAAGAGGCAUGGCGAUGUGCAGCACAAUUUUAGUUGAUGUUGCACCAUGUUUUGGUGCUUGUGUAUUUGUUUUUGCUUGUAACCACACUUGUAUGUGCUUGUCUAUCUGUUUUUGCUUGUUUUAGUUGAUGUUGGACGUGCGGACUUGUAUGUGCUGUUGUGUGUGUUUGGCGGAAUGAUUUCUGAAUUUAAUCAUUUAAUCAAGAGAAUUAUUGAGUGUUUGCUGUUCAAAUGUGUAAGCUGGAAAUCAGUGAAUAAAAAGACCAAAUGUUUUAUUGG